rnacentral:lncRNA from 1 species
GCUCUUCGCAGAAACGGGAGCCUGUGGCACCUGCCUUCCUGUCUCACCUUCUUCACUGAGCACAUGGGCCUGAGGACGUGCCAGGACUCCAGCCCCUUCCUUCCUUCUUUCCUUCAUUCAUUCGUGCCAAGGGCAGCACUCAGCCUGUCCCCACGAGGUCCCCAGGAGGCCACGUGGCAGCCGCCCAUGUCGCCUUGAAGUCCCUGAGGAAGGCAGCGCUGCCCUGAUUUCCCGGUGAGACAAUGAGGCUGGGGGAAGGUUAGGCGGGCUGGCAUCCCUCCCAGAGACCAGGCCCCGGGCUGCGCUUUUAGGGAGGGGCACGAAGUGGGGGGUGCUUGGCAUGAGGGCUGAGGGCAAAGGCCAGGAGGGGUUGGGUGGAAGGUCUGAAGUCAGACCGGGGCUUCCCCGCUCGGUCUUGGGCUGGCUCCCCAUCUGGGGUGUGGAGGGGAUGAAGGAGCAGCAGGCGCCCACAGGGAGCCAGCCUGGGCCCGUCCCGGUCCCGGCUCCUGGCAGAGAAGAGCAACGCCCCCACUCAGCCCGGAAGCGAUCCGCAUCUCUGUGAGCCUUGAGACGUUUGACGGUGAGAAGGCUGCCUUGUGGGCAGGGGGUGUGCCGCUCACCAUCUGCGUGGCCUUCCCCAGCCUGUUCACAUCCCUGUUAGGCUCCUGGGUCACUCUGAAAUUAGGUCUUAAACAGAAAGAGUGGGGAGUGUGUGUGGCCAAGUGCCAGCCCGAUGGUGGCAGACUGUGGGAGGCUUCCCCCACCCCUCUGCGUGGCCCCAGGGGUCCUGGGGAGCCUGGUGAAGGCUCAGACCCUCUCCCCAGCAAAACUGGAAGCUCAAAGUCCUGCAUCAGGCCCCAGGGUGUUCUGGGAGCUGUGGAGAAGCGUUGCGGCCACUGCCGGGGUCAUCAGAUCCCAUCCUACCUUGCCUCUCUCCCGCCACGUGACUCAAGCUCUCCACUUUUGCACGGCCUUCCUCACCAUAUGGUCAGAUAACUCAUUAGAGAAAGAAACAGUGCGGCCUGCUGGGAUGAAUGCGGGCCACUGCCCUUCCGGCCAGAGUCCCAGCCUAACCCUGGUUGCCCGAGGCCCUGCCGCUGAGGCUACUACGCCUGCCACCUGCAGGAGGAAGACCCAGCCGCAGAAACCUGGACACAAGAAGGGCGGAUGCCGGGGCCCCCGGAACGCUGGGUGCUCGAGGCUUCGUCCCCGUGGCCCGGAGAGUCUGCCGCCGCCGCCUCCUCCCAUCGCGUAGGAACCGUUUCCCACGAUGUUGGAACUUUCCACAGGCCUGACUUCUAACAACUGCACAUCAUUCAAUUAGACAGACGCGGACGGUUUCUCAGCCGGCCUCUACGCACAUCUGGGCCGCUUCCGGGUUCUAUCGCUUAUAAAUAACACAGCCAGAGGAGUCUCCGGGCGGCUGGUUUUCUGGGUUUCGCAUUAUUUCUUCAGGUUAAAUUCCCAGAAGCAGAAUCACUGGGUCAAAAAUAUGAACACUUUAUGCUUGUUGCUACACACAGAAGUCAGAAUAAAUCUGGGACCCUGUCUGGCA